AAGAGGAAAAGUUUACACUCGUGGAUAACAAACUGAUUAGGCUCACUGAUGGCAUGCCAAAGCAGUACCAGGAGAAGAAGAACAACGUUGAAACCACUAAGGGAGAUUGGCUCGGUCACGUGGCCUGGGUGGACACUAGCGACAGAGCGGCGUUGCCGCGGACCGUGACCUGCAACUGCCACCCACACUACGGACAACUCGGGCCGAAACUGCACACCCCAACAUUAUGCAUAUAUUUUGAUUUUCUUUAUUAUUCCAAACCAAGAUCCGGGACUCUUGUGUGUUUAUAGUCCGCGGGCUUAUUUAGGCAAAGGAACUCCUGCCGAAA
ensembl:antisense_RNA anr-40 ncRNA